rnacentral:rRNA from 1 species
UAGAGUUUGAUCAUGGCUCAGAACGAACGCUGGCGGCAUGCCUAACACAUGCAAGUCGAACGAACCCUUCGGGGUUAGUGGCGCACGGGUGCGUAACGCGUGGGAAUCUGCCCCUUGCUUCGGAAUAACAGUUAGAAAUGACUGCUAAUACCGGAUGAUGUCUUCGGACCAAAGAUUUAUCGGCAAGGGAUGAGCCCGCGUAGGAUUAGGUAGUUGGUGGGGUAAAGGCCUACCAAGCCGACGAUCCUUAGCUGGUCUGAGAGGAUGAUCAGCCACACUGGGACUGAGACACGGCCCAGACUCCUACGGGAGGCAGCAGUGGGGAAUAUUGGACAAUGGGCGCAAGCCUGAUCCAGCAAUGCCGCGUGAGUGAUGAAGGCCUUCGGGUCGUAAAGCUCUUUUACCCGGGAUGAUAAUGACAGUACCGGGAGAAUAAGCUCCGGCUAACUCCGUGCCAGCAGCCGCGGUAAUACA